rnacentral:lncRNA from 1 species
GAAAUCUUUUUUAUGCCAGUGUCAGCGUUCUUCCAUAAAAGGGCAUACGCCCACGUAACACUUAUCAGCAGGUUCUCCCAAUACGCGGGAAUCUUUGGGUAUAUAUAUACAUGGGUAUUUUAAGACGCGAGAAAAAGUUUUAGACUGAGACUGCCGAGUUCUGGGACGAAACUUCUAAGGAUAAUUAGCUCGUCACGAGAAUUUUUAGCUGGUUUAGCUAUCAAAUCUAUCAGCGUCCAAGAUGGCUUCCAGAUACCACAACAUACAAGCUUUGAGCAUCUUAUUAUUGGUUCUUAUCUAUCAGGCGCAUCACGUGACAAGCGAACAAAAGAGCGGGAAAAUUAAUAAGUAUUGCGGUGAGCAAUUUAUUAGUGCAUGGUCUGUCUGCUGUGGAAAUAAUCCAGAUUGUGAGAACUCGAAACGACAAGUACAAGACGAUGGCAUAUUGACAUUACCAAUGUUCGCAAAAAGAUUCCUUUCGUCUCGUCGGCAAUUUUCAUCCAUCAGCAAAAGAGGAUCAACAGAUGCUGUCGAAGAGUGUUGCAUCGAGGGAUGUUCACUAUCUGAGAUAGCUGAAUAUCAAUGCUAACCUCCGGGACUUGAUUAUAUAGAUAGAUAGAUAGAUAAUGUAUAUUAAGCUCUGUCUCGUAUCGAAUCCAGGUAAAUGAAGAGAAUACAAAGAGAAACUCGUCGCUGUAAUUCCGAACUUUGAGAGAUGGGAAAUUAUCCGACUAGUUUACUGUAAAGGUUGUUCUUUUAAUAUCGCUUAAUUAUGGAUGGUAAAUCGCAGUUCUUUACCUUCGUAUGUAAAUUGUCCAUUUAAGACCACGUGUAUUCCCCUGAGAAUUGUUCUUUUAUGACGAUAAUGUUAGAAUAUUUACACAUGAAAUAAUCAACUCCCAAGAGUGCCAUGGCUCAAGACAUGGUCUGAAAUGGGACAACAAACAAUGAAGGUAAAGAGGUCUUACAAAGAAAAUCUUUAAAAACAAUACAAUGAUAAACCAUGUUAUUUUACCCAUUCAUAACCAGCGCCUCUCUCGAUAUGAAUUGCUGGUUUAAAAUCAUUCCCUAUAGGAGGUGAAUUAAUGAUUAAAGUUAUAAUUGUCUCGUUACUUUUUCUUUACUAUUUGUCAUCAUGAAUCCCGUGUUCUUACUACGCCCUUUGUGUUGAGUAAAUACGCUCAAAUAUUUCAAUAGGACGUUUGCAUGAUGGCGUCAUUGACUUCUACUACCAGACUCCCUUCCAGACUUUCUUUUGUUCAGUUAAUUAGCUGACCAAAUUGUCUUGCUAUUCUCAUAAAUGAGGGAAUAUAAAUUUAAAUAAGAAAGAAAAUUCGCGAAGCAUCUUCGUAAUGGGAGUCAAUUGACCAAGUCGGUUCGGGCGUAAUGUUUUCCCAUUUCAGACCACGUGUCAUUCCCUAGAGUAUAAUUUCUUUGUUUAACAGUUGCACAUGAGAAGACACAUGAAAAUGUAUACAACUCAAACAAAGAAUGUUAUUCUCAAGGGAAUAACACGUGGUCUGAAAUGGGACAACAUUACGCCUCAGCCGAGGGGUUCUACGCCCCAUCAUGCUAUCGUCUUGCUGUAAAUUUUUGCGAAACUGUCGGAUCGGUAGAUACUUCAUAUACAACACCGCAAAGUGUCAUCAUCGUUCUUCAAGGCACAAAUGUCGAUUCAAAUGUGUACAUAUGAAGUAAUUUCCUGAUGCUUUCUGUCUCAGUCUUUCACGGUAAAACAUCCCACUAGCUCUCAGGCCAUACUCGUCCAGUUAACUCUUUCAUUUCCUUGCGGGGUUUGGUACUAGUCAGUAGUCCCAUGCUUGUAAUAGAAGAAUGAUAUCGGAGAUACUUCGUUUCUAUUUUUAUUUCAUAUCGAUGAUUAGUUAGUCAUAUCGUGCUUGUGUGUUAAAAAUGUCAAAUAAAAUUUAGACUCCACUCUCAA